AUUGUUUAAGAUUUACUUGCCAACAGUCCACUGUCAACAUAGACAUCUGUGCAAGCCCUUCGGCAAAAAUCGCUUUCCUAUUAUCUCUUCAUGCUUCCUAUGAUGGAUGAUUGCUAUAGCCAUCUAUUUCAUCUUUAAUUGCAUUGUAUUUUAGUUGAUAUGAUUCUUUUUCACCUAUGCUUACAAGCUCUGCUUCAGAAUUUUUCUCUAUAAUUCUUUGUGAAACCUUUUAUCUAAGCUGCAAGUCAUUCAUUUGUUGCACCAACUUUUUGUGUACUUCAUUCUUCUUGAGAACUUCUAAUUUUUUUCUGGAAUAAUGGCAAGGUUUUGAUAUGAAACUAAUCAAUGUAAAUCGGACUUGCAAAGUUACAAAGGGAGGACAAGUGGUCAAGUACACUGCCAUGAUAGCUUGUGGCAACUAUCAUGGAGUCGUGGGCUUUGCAAAAGGAAAAGGCCCAGCAAUUCCCAUUGCCCUCCAGAAGCCACUUUUGGCAGUUAUUCAUGAACUUCUUCAGAUGGUCUGAAUCCCCUCAUUGUUGAUGAUCGUGCUUUGGCAGCAGAUGCACUGCCUCUUGAGGGAGGAGGAUGGUGCAACAAUGUUACGACUUGCCUCUCAUGAAAAGAAAACCAUUUGGGUUCAUCCAAGAAGACUGGGUUUGAUGUCUACUUCUCCAUGGAUAGGGGGAAUGCCACUUUGCCUGCUAUGGAAAUGACCAAGUGCUUCGACAUCAGCUAGUAAGCCAUUGUUAUUAAGGUGUCUCUUGCUUGAUUUUAUACAUUAAGGAUCUGUUAUCAUAUUCAAUUUGUAAGAUGCUCCAAGUGUACGAGUACGAGCUUGAGCAAAACCCAGUAUAAUUUCUAUUCUUGAUCCCAUGAAAGGCGAAUGUUGAUGCAGCAACAGUUAAAAUAGUCAUGGCUGGAGCUGGAUGUGAAAAUGGUAGUAAAGUGGAACAAGUUAGAACUGAAUGGUAACCAUUCUUUUCUCUAUUGGAAGCUCCAUACUUCCACAGGUAGGGCCCACGGUAAUGUUUAUAACUGGUCUUUUUGUUGGUGCUCAAGUAAUCACAAAGUGUGAAGGUAAGUAGGAACUGAUUUGAGCAUGGGAAUGGAGAAGCUUCAGCUUCAAAAUGUUAGCAAGUAUGAACAGCUAGGAGGCAGGAGCAGGAGCACAAAUCAAAAACACAAUUCAAAGUGACAGUGACACCUGGGCAGAAAAUUUUGCAGUGAUCUUCAUUUUGUGGAUAAGAUUGUCUUGUGAUCUUCAUUUUGUGGCCUAUGAAAUAUAUGUUGAACCUAGUAGAUCUUCAACAACAUAGGGAAGACAAAAACCUUUAAACUAAUGGAGUUUCAAUGGUCCCAUUGUCUCUCUAAAUCAACAGUCUUAUAUGUAGAGAUAAAGUCAGGCAGUUAGUUUUAAAAUUAUGAUUUAAAUAUGUUGAUACUACAAUCAAGAAUUAAAUGAGUUUGUGACAAAGAAUUUAAGCAUGGAUGGCAUUGACUUGAAUAUAUUGGAUUUAUUUUUGGUGCA